rnacentral:rRNA from 1 species
GACGAACGCUGGCGGCGUGCUUAACACAUGCAAGUCGAACGAAGAGCGAUGGAAGCUUGCUUCUAUCAAUCUUAGUGGCGAACGGGUGAGUAACGCGUAAUCAACCUGCCCUUCAGAGGGGGACAACAGUUGGAAACGACUGCUAAUACCGCAUACGAUCUAAUCUCGGCAUCGAGGAUAGAUGAAAGGUGGCCUCUACAUGUAAGCUAUCACUGAAGGAGGGGAUUGCGUCUGAUUAGCUAGUUGGAGGGGUAACGGCCCACCAAGGCGAUGAUCAGUAGCCGGUCUGAGAGGAUGAACGGCCACAUUGGGACUGAGACACGGCCCAGACUCCUACGGGAGGCAGCAGUGGGGAAUCUUCCGCAAAGGACGAAAGUCUGACGGAGCAACGCCGCGUGAGUGAUGACGGCCUUCGGGUUGUAAAGCUCUGUUAAUCGGGACGAAAGGCCUUCUUGCGAAUAGUGAGAAGGAUUGACGGUACCGGAAUAGAAAGCCACGGCUAACUACGUG